AUUGAACGCUGGCGGCAGGCCUAACACAUGCAAGUCGAGCGGAUGAAGGGAGCUUGCUCCUGGAUUCAGCGGCGGACGGGUGAGUAAUGCCUAGGAAUCUGCCUGGUAUUGGGGGAUAACGUCCGGAAACGGGCGCUAAUACCGCAUACGUCCUGAGGGAGAAAGUGGGGGAUCUUCGGACCUCACGCUAUCAGAUGAGCCUAGGUCGGAUUAGCUAGUUGGUGGGGUAAAGGCCUACCAAGGCGACGAUCCGUAACUGGUCUGAGAGGAUGAUCAGUCACACUGGAACUGAGACACGGUCCAGACUCCUACGGGAGGCAGCAGUGGGGAAUAUUGGACAAUGGGCGAAAGCCUGAUCCAGCCAUGCCGCGUGUGUGAAGAAGGUCUUCGGAUUGUAAAGCACUUUAAGUUGGGAGGAAGGGCAGUAAGUUAAUACCUUGCUGUCUUGACGUUACCAACAGAAUAAGCACCGGCUAACUUCGUG
rnacentral:rRNA from 1 species